CUGGGCGGUAGAUGUGGUGUGUAUGAAUGGAUAUAUACGAUUUUGGAAAAUGGUCAUGCAAAAUAGCCAAAUCUGUCUAGAAAAUAGCUAAGUCUGCAACACUGGCUACGAUCAAUGAAGUCUGUGUGCUUCAAUCGCCGGAAAACAACAACAUGAAUCGCACUUACGAAAAUCCCUGCUCCAUUCGGUUCCAUUCUUAUUGUGGUUGUUAUUUGGAAUAUCAUAAAUGGAGCUUAAUUUUAUUACCUUAAACACUUACCACAGACAACAAGUCAACAUGCAUUUCUAUUGAUUUGAUAACUAUGAAUAUGAAAUUGUUGGCUUUGUGCAUCGAUCGCUGUUCGAAAUAUA